CACGUAGGGUGCGAGCGUUGUCCGGAAUUAUUGGGCGUAAAGAGCUCGUAGGCGGUUCGUCGCGUCGGCUGUGAAAUCCCGAGGCUCAACCUCGGGUCUGCAGUCGAUACGGGCGGACUGGAGUUCGGCAGGGGAGACUGGAAUUCCUGGUGUAGCGGUGAAAUGCGCAGAUAUCAGGAGGAACACCGGUGGCGAAGGCGGGUCUCUGGGCCGAUACUGACGCUGAGGAGCGAAAGCGUGGGGGAGCGAACAGG
rnacentral:rRNA from 1 species